UACGUAGGCAGCGAGCGUUGUUCGGAGUUACUGGGCGUAAAGGGUGUGUAGGCGGUUCUUUAAGUUUGGUGUGAAAUCUCCCGGCUCAACCGGGAGGGUGCGCCGAAACUGGGGACUAGAGUGCGGAUGGGAGAGUAGAAUUCCUGGUGUAGCGGUGAAUGCGUAGAUAUCAGGAGGAAUACCGGUGGUGUAGACGGCUCUCUGGACCGCCACUGACGCUGAGACACGAAAGCGUGGGUAGCAACAGG
rnacentral:rRNA from 1 species